rnacentral:rRNA from 1 species
GACAGAGGGGGCAAGCGUUGCUCGGAAUUACUGGGCGUAAAGGGCGCGUAGGCGGGAUGGCAAGUCGGUCGUGAAAUCCCUCGGCUCAACCGAGGAACGUCGAUCGAUACUGCCGUGCUUGAGGACUGGAGAGGAGACUGGAAUUUACGGUGUAGCAGUGAAAUGCGUAGAGAUCGUAAGGAAGACCAGUGGCGAAGGCGGGUCUCUGGACAGUUCCUGACACUGAGGCACGAAGGCCAGGGGAGCAAACGGG